AUUGAACGCUGGCGGCAGGCCUAACACAUGCAAGUCGAGCGGAUGAUGGGAGCUUGCUCCUUGAUUCAGCGGCGGACGGGUGAGUAAUGCCUAGGAAUCUGCCUGGUAGUGGGGGACAACGUUUCGAAAGGAACGCUAAUACCGCAUACGUCCUACGGGAGAAAGCAGGGGACCUUCGGGCCUUGCGCUAUCAGAUGAGCCUAGGUCGGAUUAGCUAGUUGGUGAGGUAAUGGCUCACCAAGGCGACGAUCCGUAACUGGUCUGAGAGGAUGAUCAGUCACACUGGAACUGAGACACGGUCCAGACUCCUACGGGAGGCAGCAGUGGGGAAUAUUGGACAAUGGGCGAAAGCCUGAUCCAGCCAUGCCGCGUGUGUGAAGAAGGUCUUCGGAUUGUAAAGCACUUUAAGUUGGGAGGAAGGGCAGUAAGUUAAUACCUUGCUGUUUUGACGUUACCGACAGAAUAAGCACCGGCUAACUCUGUGCCAGCCGCCGCGGUAAUAC
rnacentral:rRNA from 1 species